rnacentral:rRNA from 6 species
GUUUGACCUCGGAUCAGGUAGGGAUACCCGCUGAACUUAAGCAUA